AAAAGUUGAUGUGUGUGUGUGUGUGAGGGAGAGAUUUGAUAUAAUAGUCGCUGCUGCUGGAAUAAUUGCGCACUAUAAGAUAAACGGUGUAUUCUUUCAGGCAGGAUUUGGCACCGUCCUCAUCUAAUUCCCCCCCGUCAAAAAAACAAACAAACAACAACACACACACGUAAACAAAAACAAAGAAGAUAGAACCACCAUAUAAAAAUCACCUAUAAACCUAUUAGACUUUGUUGAUCCCACACAAGCAGGAUAAUCUUUGCUCAACGCACAGACAGAUCAGGGCCUGGCUGAUUAUUUGGAUUAGACUCCCGGAACAUCAAUCACGGGUAAUUCGAGCGCAGGGGGGGAAAUCGUGUAUUAAGAAAAAAGAAAAAGAAAGAAGCUGCAGCCAAGAAGUCUUAACAACUUCUCCCUUGCUCUCCCCCCCAAAGGUAACUAAUGUUUAAGAAUAAAACACAGAUAUUUUGCAGCUCUGUCUUAAAGUUCGUGGAUAUUUCCAGUGGCCUCUGCUAUAGUGGGACAAUGGAGGCUGCGGAUCGAUUUGCUACACCUUUUUACUGAGGCUCGUGGUGAAGGGGAGGGGCUCUGAAUCUACAAGAGGCUCCAUUAAUAGCCUACACUGCGUCCUAUAACUAUUAUCCUCCGUAAAGUGUUUAUAAAGGGCACGCAACUGGGCCAGUGUUAUCUUAAAUGAGGGGCAGGGGCUGCUCUGCAGGACAGGGGAGAGAAGGAGAAACUCCCAGGCUGGUUUUUAAUACCGGGUAACAGAGGGUGUGGUGAUAAUCACAACACAGAACUUGGAUGGCACGGGAAGUGGCUCAGUUCAGACUGGAUGCGCCCCCCCACCCCCCCUACUCCUGCAGCCGGACAAGGGACUCAUCCAGCCCCAUGGACGCUCCAGUCCGGGCUGGAGCUUUGGAGCGGAUCAUUUACAAGGAACUGGAUUACUAUACACAACUUCGGUGCAAACCGCCAGACGGUCCCACUUUAACCAGAGCUGGUGUGACGUGAGCACAGCCGGGAUCAUGAAGUGAAGGAGACCUGCAGGUUCUCAGAUCAGAUCUGCCACAGCAGCACCGGACGCCUUCACUUAUCCUCGGCAGACUGAAAUAAAGAGGAAUUCUCUCCCCACAGUGUCAUUCAAAUAAGUGAACAUUUGGAAUGACGAAGGCUCAACGCUUAUGACAAUUCCUCUGCUCGUAAUCUUGACUAAUCUUCAAUCAAUGAUGGGUCCCUAUCAGAUUCCACACACUCAUUGACAGGCUGAAUAUAAGAAUAUAUAAUAAAAAAUUAAUAAAGAGGAGGCUCUAACUUUGACAUGAGCUAUAUCUCCACAUCUAUCAGAUAAGACUGCAUAAUUAAAAUGCCAAAGUGUGAGUAGAGCGAGAGAGGGAGACGUCGAGGUUUUGAUAUAUUAUAGAGAUUUACUUUUCCACGACUUGUUUAAUGUGUAGACUUAAAAAAACGAUGUGUUGCUGUACUUUUGACAAUGCAAUUAAAGGUUUGUAAGCCCCGCCAUGCAUGAGCCUUUUUUUUGUGUGUGAUUUUGUCAGUUUUGGACGAAGGAUGUGGUGAAAAGCUGCGCAGCGGUGACAGACGCAAGUUUAUGAAAGGACGGGCGUCUCGGAGGGAUUGGAGGUGUUCUUUUAUAGAGGCUCCGAGCUGAAGGGAAGAGGAGGCCACUUCAGCUUGUUUACACGAACUAUGAAUCCGCUGUUCAGCAGGAUAUAUUUACUGUGUGUCUUUUAGGCAUGAGCUCCGUUACUUUAUCUGCACUUUGAGAGAAACCGCGUGACACAGAGGUUUCCCUGCCCCCUGGAGCGACCUUGAGAAAAAGAAAAAUCUUUGCCAAAAUCUACAGAAUAAAAUGACAUAUUUCACAUUUCAAAAAAAUACCUGCCUCCCUGACAUGCACGCUCGUUCGCUCUCCUCCUCGCGGGCCUUUUGUUUUCUUUGACACGUGCACUCCAAUUAGCAUUUUUCAGCCAUUAAGGAGGAAAGAGAAACGGCUAAAUGUUUGUCUCAGCCGGCACUUUUCUCCCACGACAGGACUUUUCUCUCCGAGGCCUGGUGGAGAAAAAAGAACGGGAGAAAGAAUCAACAUUUUUUUUAUUUUCAGACAGACUCAAUGUUAUAUCCUCGAUGUUAACAUUAUCUUCUUCACACAACAAUUACCAGCAGCUU